GUCUACAGCCAUACCACCCUGAACGCGCCCGAUCUCGUCUGAUCUCGGAAGCUAAGCAGGGUCGGGCCUGGUUAGUACUUGGAUGGAAGAGAGGCAUGCUGACU
rnacentral:rRNA from 1 species